CAUGUGUAGAACAAAAAAGAUAUACACAUUACAUAGGGACAAUGAGUAGAGGCUUUUCUUUCUGUAGAGUAACACCCAAACUUUUUCUUCCAUAUCUAACUGCAUUGGAUCCUCACCAUUAGGAAUUGACCACUCAAAGUAAUGGAUCAAACAAGCUAAAAUCAAGUGAAUUUCUUGUCGAGCAAAACCUAAGCCAGGGCAUAUUCUCCUCCCUGCACCAAAUGGAGCACGACGACGAGGAAUCAAGAAGGGAGUAGGUGAAUGGAUUCUCAAUGUCUCCUUGACAAUAGCAGCCAAAUAUGGAAGUUCACUGAUGUUUGAUUCUGUUAUUAUAUCAUUUUCCCUGAAUUUACUUGUAAGCUCAGCCUGAAAUUUGUGCAUAGCACCCUUGUUCCUCAGCAACUCUAUCAUUGCCCAUUCAAUUGUUGAGGUUGUGGUGUUAGAACCCGCACCCACUAAUUCCUGAAAUUCAAGAACAAGAUUGUGUCAUGUCAACCUCAAUUGGUUUUGCCUAAAAAAUUCACAUCUAUUUGAAACCAGAGUAUACUGAUUUUAAAAAGUUGAGAUAUUACUAUCACUAAGAUAUUGAUCUGUAAAUCUGAGAAUCCACUAUCAAUCAUGACAUUCAAAAAAUUCGAGCUAUGACGUUUAAUUGCCUGCCUUUUUCCUUUACAAUUUCACUCCAGAUAUUGAUCAAUUGACUCUGAUAUAUUUCCGUCUGCUUUCUCAAUCCCUGCAGAUCCAGAGCCUCAAAUAGAGGA